UUUGUUUAUGCCCGCGAAAUUGCGGUGAAACUGAAGGUUCCAUCACCUCAGUGAGGAGAAGGCUCAUCAGUCACGGUCCGGGUUUGCACUGGAGAGAGAGAGGAUACUUUGCUGCCUGUUGUUUGUGGAGACCAUUGGACAAGUUCAUAGGCCCACUUCCUCCGUAACAUCGGCGCAUCGUACUUGUUUACUCCUUCUCUUUUAAGUUACCGGUCAAGUGCUGGUCAGACUUUCCGCUAGCUAUUUGUCAGUGCUAUUUUGUAGCUGAAGCUAUCCUGACCUGGGUAGCUGACUUGCUAGCUCCUGUUGCAUUCUCCUUCGGAGACGGACUCGAUUUGUGCUUCGGUGCUGGGCCCACCGGAGCCAGACCUUCUAAGGACGACUGCGUUUUGCCUCCGGUGCUGAGCCCACCGGAGUGCCAACCGCCAACUACCCGCUGCUGUUGAGGUUUGCUGGCUGACUGCAGCAACAUCCUCCACUGGAGUCGCAUCCUCGGCUAGCUGGGACAUAGCUGCCUCCAAUUCCUGAGUCAGGACUAAGCGGAAUCUCCCGGUUCUGAGUGAUUGGUCGUUUUCCAGGAUGACUCAUGGUCAGAGCAGGAUCCUUCAAAAUGACUUACCAAUGUCCUUUAGAGGCUCCACAACCUCCCACUUCGGAUCUGACCUGAAGAACAUGGAUACUUGCUGUAAGGCUAUUUCUGAGGAUAAAGAGAAAUUGGGUCAUUUCAGAAUACAAACAUAAUAGAAACAGUACAUGUACAAAAACAGUGCAUCUGCACUGGGGUAGUGUUUCAGAGAACAGGUUUGACAAAGUCUGAGACUAACCCUGAACUCUAGUUGAUCUACCCUGAUAUGGUAAAAAUGUAAUCUUUCGGUUCAAAAACAGCUGACCUGAGUUAGCUGAGUUUGCCACCAUGGCAACGGGCGCCACUGGCAACCUGACCUCACUUCAUACUUUCCCAUCUGGAAGUUCUAAUACUAGUAUGUGCUUGUCUGUUCUAUAUCAAUGCUCUUUUUAAUGGUAAUUAUAACAACCAUAGUAAAUGAUAGUUGAACUAGGAAGCAUAGUUACAUGUAACUUAACUACCCACUAUUAUCACUAUCAGGACCAAAGACAGUAGUACAACAAACUGUCGGCUUCUUUUUAAACUGAACUACUUGUUUCCUUUGCGUGCUAUAAAGGCAUGACUAUUGCCUAUAUGCAGUACAUAGUGGCAACUGCGGGAUAAGCCAGAUGACGGAUGGCGUGGAUAAUGGACUUGGUUCUAACCCCAACCCUAACCCUAACUCUAAACCUAACCCUAACUUGUUCAAUUUAAAAAACUGACCUGAUUUAACAACAGGGAAUGGUGGAACAAUGGAUAAAAAAAAGCUUCACAGUGUCAGUUGUGGUAACUAAUUCUGAGUUUGACUCACAUUGGAAUGGAAAGCCCAGAAUUUCCCUCAUCUCAGGGUUAAUAACCUCAGACUUCAAACAAAACCUGUUUUCUGGAAUAUCCCUUUAUCUAAGGUCAUCUUGUCCCUUACCAGUGUAGUUUGUGGAGUAAUUAUUAGUGUCAAGGAACUUUUUAACCAGCUCACAACUGGAUAGGAUGUGGUGCUGUGUGAUGAAGUUCAGAUAGGUCUGCAGUCCUUUCUGACGUUCAGCUAUGAACUCUCUAUCCAUAUUCCCAAUGAGCUUCUUUGGGGGAAGAGGUAGGCUGAGGCCAGAAAUCUGUAAGACAGACGAUUAUAGUCAAUUGGUUGCCUAUGGAAGGCUAUGCUAAGGAAUAUGGUCUUCAGGAAAUUGGUCAGUAAAAUGUCAGCAAAAAGCCAUGCAAGCAACAUCCUCUUUUUGUCUUUUUUUAUGAAAUAUGACAGACUAGCACUUUUAUCAAGUAUGUAGCACAUGUUAACAAAGGUAAUGGUACAGAAUGAGAAUGUGUUUUCAAAGAAUACUUUGAUUAUAGAACUUACCAAUAGGCUGUUAUUCAACAUAUCGAAGUCACUGUAUCUCCUAAUGACCUGAAUAUAAUAUUAAAAGUUAGAUAAAUAAGAAGAAAAAAAAAAACCUUUGAAGCAAGGAGCACAUGUAAGUCUUGUAAGACCUGUUUAAAACUGACCUACCUGCCAACUGUUUUCUGUUGUGACACCUCUCUGCACACGAAUGAUGUAUUCCUAGUUGAAAGAAAAAAGUAAUUGAUCAAUAAAACAAAAUUACAAUUA